GGGUUGUGAGGUUAAGCGACUAAGCGUACACGGUGGAUGCCCUGGCAGUCAGAGGCGAUGAAGGACGUGCUAAUCUGCGAUAAGCGCCGGUAAGGUGAUAUGAACCGUUAUAACCGGCGAUUUCCGAAUGGGGAAACCCAGUGUGACUCGUCACACUAUCAUUAACUGAAUCCAUAGGUUAAUGAGGCGAACCGGGGGAACUGAAACAUCUAAGUACCCCGAGGAAAAGAAAUCAACCGAGAUUCCCCCAGUAGCGGCGAGCGAACGGGGAGGAGCCCAGAGCCUGAAUCAGCAUGUGUGUUAGUGGAAGCGUCUGGAAAGGCGCGCGAUACAGGGUGACAGCCCCGUACACAAAAGCGCAUGUGCUGUGAGCUCGAUGAGUAGGGCGGGACACGUGGUAUCCUGUCUGAAUAUGGGGGGACCAUCCUCCAAGGCUAAAUACUCCUGACUGACCGAUAGUGAACCAGUACCGUGAGGGAAAGGCGAAAAGAACCCCGGCGAGGGGAGUGAAAAAGAACCUGAAACCGUGUACGUACAAGCAGUGGGAGCACCCUGUGUGACUGCGUACCUUUUGUAUAAUGGGUCAGCGACUUAUAUUCUGUAGCAAGGUUAACCG
rnacentral:rRNA from 1 species